UUUAAAUGAUGAUUUGCCAUGCUAAUACCGAGAAAGUUUAAGACUUUCACUGAGUUUAAAUAUAUUCCUGACCAUUUCACACAAUUGAUGUGA